rnacentral:rRNA from 1 species
GACGAACGCUGGCGGCGUUCUUAACACAUGCAAGUCGAACGGAAAGGCCCUGCUUUUGUGGGGUGCUCGAGUGGCGAACGGGUGAGUAACACGUGAGUAACCUGCCCUUGACUUUGGGAUAACUUCAGGAAACUGGGGCUAAUACCGGAUAGGAGCUCCUGCUGCAUGGUGGGGGUUGGAACGUUUCGGCGGUUGGGGAUGGACUCGCGGCUUAUCAGCUUGUUGGUGGGGUAGUGGCUUACCAAGGCUUUGACGGGUAGCCGGCCUGAGAGGGUGACCGGCCACAUUGGGACUGAGAUACGGCCCAGACUCCUACGGGAGGCAGCAGUGGGGAAUAUUGCACAAUGGGCGGAAGCCUGAUGCAGCAACGCCGCGUGCGGGAUGACGGCCUUCGGGUUGUAAACCGCUUUCGCCUGUGACGAAGCGUGAGUGACGGUAAUGGGUAAAGAAGCACCGGCUAACUACGUG